rnacentral:piRNA from 1 species
UGAGAGACCAAGGGACUAGGAAACA